UUCUCGCUAACAAAUUUGAAGUACAUCCUGCCCAGUGAAUUUUCAACGGCCGCGGUAUCCUGACCGUGCAAAGGUAGCAUAAUCAUUUGCCUUUUAAUUGGAGGCUAGAAUGAACGGACACACGAGGUUUUUCCUGUCUCUCCUAAUCCCCUAAAAACUAAUUUUCAGGUGAAGAAGCCUGAAUUCCACAAAAUGACAAGAAGACCCUAUUGAGUUUUACAUUUUUCCUUUUUUAAGAAUAGAAUGUUUGAUUGGGGCGAUCAAGGAACAUUAAAACCUUCCUUUCCUCUUAAGGGAUAAAUCCCACUUAAAUUUGACCCUUUACUGAUCAACCGAAAAAACUACCAUAGGGAUAACAGGCUUAUUUUCUUUGCGAGCUCAUAUUUAUAAGAAAGUUUGGCACCUCGAUGUUGGCUUAGGGCAACCCUCAAAUGCAGCAGUUUGAUAAGGUUAGUUUGUUCAACUAUUAAAUCCCUACGUGAUCU
rnacentral:rRNA from 1 species